GUUAAUUAUAUAUUUAAUUUUUUUGCUCGUAUAUAUAAAAAGCCGAACUAAAUUUUGUAAAUUUCAUUCUAUCUUCAACUUUCUUGAAAAUUCCUUUAUUGAAAUACUAAUUAAAUUUCUGCAUAUAAAAUGGCAAGUUUCAAAUCUUGUUUAUUGGUGGUGUUCUUGGCAACCAUAUUAAUGUUAAUGGUACCUUCUAUUAAUGCCUGUGAACCUAACGGUACUCCAUGUCAACCCGAUGGAAGUACAGAUUGUUGUACAAAAUUUUGUUAUAAACAAGUAGGAUGGGCAAUUGGAUAUUGUAAAUAGAGAAUUAUUUUUAAUUACGGUUAUUAAUAAUAACAACAAUUAAAAAUUACAUUUUUCUUCACAUGUAAAUUUUGAUGUAAAAGAAAUAAAAAUUUGUUAAUUUCAA